AGGUAUUGGGAACUUACUGCUAGACGAUCUUUUUCGUGGAGUUAUCCGGAGCUACUAUGAUAUUGAGAGAGAUAUAUAAUCACCAAUACAAAUAACAAUUAAAAUCUGUAUAAUACACUGAUAAACAUAAGUGACCCAGUUAUGCAAUACAUUUAGGUUAUGUACUCUGGUCCUGUUAUUGUUGUUGCAUCAGCUGUGCUGGACAAUUGGUUUAGGUUUGGUGAGUGGUGUUGUUUGGUACUGGUAUGAUCUUGAUCUGCGACAGAGCAUUUUGAAGACAUCGGGAGAACCCAUGAUAUCAGAAGUCCAUGCCGACUGGAGUAUUAAUUGUUUUGUUUAGAUUAAUUAUGAAAUCUUCUGAAGGUUUCAUAAUCAAAGAUAAAAGAGUUCUUUGGUGAUGGAAGCCAGAUAUCAGAAUUGUGUGAAUAUACUUGUAAGAGGAUUAGAGAAGAAUGGUCUGUAAAUAACAUUGGCAUCAUGACUGAGGAAGAUGGAGAAUUGCUGAUGUGCGUAACAAGUCCAGACCCUAGUAUGCCUGCAGAAGUUAUCGGUGUCUUAGUGGAAUCAUUAGCUGUUUUGCAUUGCAUAUUUGAGUGGAGUGAAAUGGAAUUCUAGUUCGUCAGAUGCUGAGAGUGAUCCUGGUUCGUCUGAUUCAGAGAGUGAUGACAGUCUGGACAAGGACAUUUCAUCAAGUCUGAUACAAGUGAAUGCUACCAAGAAUGAGAUCAGUGAAAGGAUAAAUAGAUUCAUCGGCUACAAACGAGAACAAGCCAACAUCAACAACAUCCUAGACUUCUGUGGUCCGCCUGACAUCGACAAACUGUGUGCUAGGGUUGAUGCAGUUCUCACACGCAAGAAAAACUCUUCCAGUCAUAUGGCAGUUCGCAAUGUUUUGGACAGAUUCACUCAUAAGCACACUGCUGGAAAGACCAAGAAACUUGAAACGUCAGAUUCUGUAAGUAAAUCUUUGAUUUUAUCCAUUUCAGCUGAUUUAAAUAAUACACAUUUUAUAACAAAUCUAACCUUCAUUGUCUUUUAUCCCUUUUAUGAUAGACACCUGUAAUGGGCAACCGUUCACAUUUUUUUGCAGUUUACUGUCUUGUUAUUACUCCAAAUUCCAUUUACCUUGAUAAGCAUGUUGUGAACAAUAUUGGCUUCAUGGGAACACAAUAAAGAUGUUUUGAUGCAUGAAAAUUGUUUAAAUCUCCGAUCAACUUGUUUUAGUUU
rnacentral:lncRNA from 1 species